AGUGAACGCUGGCGGUAGGCCUAACACAUGCAAGUCGAACGGCAGCACAGUAAGAGCUUGCUCUUACGGGUGGCGAGUGGCGGACGGGUGAGGAAUACAUCGGAAUCUACUUUUUCGUGGGGGAUAACGUAGGGAAACUUACGCUAAUACCGCAUACGACCUACGGGUGAAAGCAGGGGAUCUUCGGACCUUGCGCGAUUGAAUGAGCCGAUGUCGGAUUAGCUAGUUGGCAGGGUAAAGGCCCACCAAGGCGACGAUCCGUAGCUGGUCUGAGAGGAUGAUCAGCCACACUGGAACUGAGACACGGUCCAGACUCCUACGGGAGGCAGCAGUAGGGAAUAUUGGACAAUGGGCGAAAGCCUGAUCCAGCCAUACCGCGUGGGUGAAGAAGGCCUUCGGGUUGUAAAGCCCUUUUGUUGGGAAAGAAAAGCAGCAGGUUAAUACCCCGCUGUUCUGACGGUACCCAAAGAAUAAGCACCGGCUAACUUCGUG
rnacentral:rRNA from 1 species